rnacentral:misc_RNA from 1 species
AGCAGCCGCGGUAAUUCCAGCUCCAAUAGCGUAUAUUAAAGUUGUUGCAGUUAAAAGCUCGUAGUUGAAUUUCGGGAUCAAUAUGUCGGUCGUGCCUUGGUACGUACUGGCGUCAUUGGUUUCUACCUUCUGAAGAACCUCGAUGUCAUUAAUUUGGUGUCUUGGGGAAUCAGGACUGUUACUUUGAAAAAAUUAGAGUGUUUAAAGCAAGCUCACGCUUGAAUACAUUAGCAUGGAAUAAUGAAAUAGGACGUUUGAUUCUAUUUUGUUGGUUUCUAGGAUCGACGUAAUGAUUAAUAGGGAUAGUUGGGGGCAUUAGUAUUCAAUUGUCAGAGGUGAAAUUCUUGGAUUUAUUGAAGACUAACUACUGCGAAAGCAUUUGCCAAGGAUGUUUUCAUUAAUCAAGAACGAAAGUUAGGGAUCGAAGACGAUCAGAUACCGUCGUAGUCUUAACCAUAAGCUAUGCCGACUAGGGAUCGG